rnacentral:rRNA from 1 species
GAUGAACGCUGGCGGCGUGCCUAAUACAUGCAAGUCGAGCGAAUGGAUUAAGAGCUUGCUCUUAUGAAGUUAGCGGCGGACGGGUGAGUAACACGUGGGUAACCUGCCCAUAAGACUGGGAUAACUCCGGGAAACCGGGGCUAAUACCGGAUAACAUUUUGAACCGCAUGGUUCGAAAUUGAAAGGCGGCUUCGGCUGUGACACAGGGAUGGACCCGCGUCGCAUUAGCUAGUUGGUGAGGUAACGGCUCACCAAGGCAACGAUGCGUAGCCGACCUGAGAGGGUGAUCGGCCACACUGGGACUGAGACACGGCCCAGACUCCUACGGGAGGCAGCAGUAGGGAAUCUUCCGCAAUGGACGAAAGUCUGACGGAGCAACGCCGCGUGAGUGAUGAAGGCUUUCGGGUCGUAAAACUCUGUUGUUAGGGAAGAACAAGUGCUAGUUGAAUAAGCUGGCACCUUGACGGUACCUAACCAGAAAGCCACGGCUAACUACGUGCCAGCCGCCGCGGUAA